GGAAUUUAAAGAUUAAGUUACCUUCAAACUAGAUUAACAAAGUAGACCAUAGUUAGAUGGGAAUUUAAAAUGUAUUCUGAUAUGUAUCUUUGUUCUUUUUGUAUACUCCGUUUGUUUGGCUCCCUACCUACGAAUUCUUUUCUGUAUGGGCAAAGCUACUGGCAAUAACAGAGCGGUUGCCAGUCACAAAGAUGGCGGAAUACAAACCGGAAGUGACAACGGUGUUACAUCACUUCCGAGUAGACCAACGUGAAAAAUAGGAACAGCUGAGAAACACCCACGGCUUCCGGACAUUGGAUUGGCUAAAGACAAAGUCAGGGGACGAAUCAGGAAGGAGAUUAAGAUUUAAAAGAAGAAUGGCAGCAGAGAAAGGAUUACUUUGAUUGAAAAAGUCAAUUUGCGGCAAAACGCGUCUUGAGGACCUUAUUCAAGGACAG